rnacentral:lncRNA from 1 species
AGUGCUCGGAUUUGUCAGGUUUCCUCACUUUUCUGUUUCCUGUGUAGGUAAGCAAUGCUAGCCACACGGACCAGGUUCCUGCACAUUCGGAAUUUUUGUGGAUCCUGGAAUAGAGACACAUUCUGAUGACUAAGACCAGAGGACAAAGGCUUUCCAGUGCAAUGCAUAGCAGCACAGAAGCAUACAAGGAGGCUUCGUAGAGGGAGGGACCCCCUGCACAGGACCCAGGCUUGGAACCAGUCAUUGGCCAGACACAGAAAGGGAUAGUUGUUCCAAGUAAAGAACAGCCUCUGAGUGGAGCCUGCAGAGUGGAGGAAGGAUGCGGCUGAAAUCCUGGACCAGGCAGAGGACCACAGCACU